rnacentral:rRNA from 1 species
UACGUAGGGGGCGAGCGUUGUCCGGAUUUACUGGGCGUAAAGGGUGAGUAGGCGGUUAUUUAAGUCAGAUGUAAAAGGCUAUGGCUCAACUAUAGUAAGCAUUUGAAACUGGAUAACUUGAGUGCAGGAGAGGUAAGUGGAAUUCCUAGUGUAGCGGUGAAAUGCGUAGAUAUUAGGAGGAACACCAGUGGCGAAGGCGACUUACUGGACUGUAACUGACGCUGAGUCACGAAAGCGUGGGUAGCAAACA